AGUGAACGCUGGCGGUAGGCCUAACACAUGCAAGUCGAACGGCAGCACAGUAAGAGCUUGCUCUUACGGUUGGCGAGUGGCGGACGGGUGAGGAAUACAUCGGCAUCUACUUUUUCGUGGGGGAUAACGUAGGGAAACUGACGCUAAUACCGCAUACGACCUACGGGUGAAAGCAGGGGAUCUUCGCACCUUGCGCGUUUGAAUGAGCCGAUGUCGGAUUAGCUAGUUGGCGGGGUAAAGGCCCACCAAGGCGACGAUCCGUAGCUGGUCUGAGAGGAUGAUCAGCCACACUGGAACUGAGACACGGUCCAGACUCCUACGGGAGGCAGCAGUGGGGAAUAUUGGACAAUGGGCGCAAGCCUGAUCCAGCCAUACCGCGUGAGUGAAGAAGGCCUUCGGGUUGUAAAGCCCUUUUGUUGGGAAAGAAAAGCAGCAGGUUAAUACCCCGCUGUUCUGACGGUACCCAAAGAAUAAGCACCGGCUAACUUCGUG
rnacentral:rRNA from 1 species